AUCCUUCUCAGAUCAAUGAGACAUGAUGAGUUGGUUAACACGCGGUUUUGCGUGAAACGUGCGACACCAACCUUGUUACGCAUAUGCACGAGAACCAUCUGAUC
rnacentral:snoRNA from 1 species